AUGAGAAUUCAAACCAAUGUUGCAUCCCCUCUAACAAAGAGCAUCAAGUCAUCCGCGAAUGCCAAGUGUGUCACUUUUAAUGGCCCACAUUUGGGACGAAAAUUAAAUUCACUAUUCUCGGUUGCUCCAUUCAACAUCCGUGAGAAAUAUUUGAGGCAAAGUACAAACUAAAAGGAAGAUAAAGGAUCCCGUCGUUGAAAGCCUUUUUUCCCUUUGAUGAAUCCAUGAAGGCUACCAUUAAGCAUAAUAGAAUAUGAUGGAGUAGUGAUACACUCCAUCAUGUAUGCAAUGAAUCUUCUACAAAUCCCAAACCACCAAGAACACCUCUAAGAAAAUCCCAGUUGACUGAAUCAUAUGCUUUCCUUAAAUCAAUCUUGAGAAGGCAUCUAGGGAUAACCUUUUUACAAUUAUAUUGCCUCAAGAGCUCUUGAACAAGAUGGAUAUUUUUCGUCAUACUCCGACCCUCCACAAAUGCCGCUUUUGCUGGAUCCACAAUAGUUCCAAGAAUAGUUCUUGACCGAGAAGCAAGAAUCUUGGUAAUAACCUUAUAGACCACGUUGUAACAAGCAAUUGGCCGAUAGUCCCCAACAAUAGGCGAGUGAGAAGCUUUCGGGACCAACACAAUAACCGUAUGGUUUGUUUGUCUAAGAAGAGAACUUGAGGAGAAUAAUUCUUCAAUUGCCUCCAUAAAAUCACUCCCAACAAUCUCCCCAGACUUCUUAAAUCUGGUCCCGGGGAUUUGUCAUCUCCAAUACUCAAAAGUGCAUCCUCAAUCUCUUGCAUCGAGAUGUCUCGUAUAAGGUCAUGCGCCUGUUAUGUGGAAACCAUCGGACCUGCCCUCAGAAUAUCUGCAUCAACAGGUUGCACAAAGCUGAUCAUGCCCAGCAAAUCAGCAUAAAACUUAGAAAAUUCUGCUGCAACCUGAUUUUGUGAUGUAGUGUAGGCUUCGUCCUCUUUAAGUACAGCAGCAAUAUAUUUCCGUUUCACAUUCCUUUUGACCAUCGAGCGAAAGAAUUUAGUGCAUUUAUCGCUAUUCUUCGGGUAAACACAUUUAGCCUUUUGGUAAUAAAAGCUUCUAUCAGCUUCGCUCAAUCCCAUGGCUACUUUCCUCAAUUGAGCCACCUUACAAUUAAGUUGGGAAUUUGUUGGAUGGUCAUGUAGCUCCAAUUGUGUCGCUUCCAGUUCCCUUUUUGCAGAUUCGGUUCUUGAAGAAAUGUGCGAAAAAUGUUUAUAAUUAAGCCUCUUUAGCGCACCCUUUAGACUUUGUAACUUUUUGCAUAGAGUAAAUUUCCUUGGCCCUCUUGAAUUCUUGUUCCCAACUCUUUUGAAUUAAGUCAUGAGAGUCUUCAUGAUUAGUCCACAUGUUGAAGAACCGAAAAGGCUUUCUCUUGUUUCCAUCAUGAUGGAAAAGUGAUACAAUGCAUGGCGAGUGAUCAGAAACGCACUUUGAUGGUAAAAAUUCGGCUAGGCUUUGGAAACCCGCUUGUACUCAAUCAUUAUUAACCAUAGCUCUAUCAAUCUUGCUCCAAACCUAUGUGUUUGUCCAAGUAUAGAAGCAUCCUAUGGAGCUCAUAUCCGUAAGACCAACAUGAAGACAGCAGUUUUCAAAAUCCUUGAUCUUAGAGGGAGUUGUCUCCCGCAUUUAGGUAUUCUCUACCUGCCCACCUGUGUCGGUUUCAGGAAUAGAUACUCUCAUAUGGGGUGAUGUCGGCUCCAUUACACCUUUCAUCCAUCUUGAGAACAUUGUUGAAAUCCCCAAGAAUAAGCCAAGGAAAAGAGUGACUCACCCCGAACUCCAUAAUAUUAUUCCAUAGAGGCUGACGACUAACAAUAGUAUGAAAUGCAUAAACAAAACUAAGAUGAAACAUAAGGGAUGUUACCUUACAAGUGGCAAUGCAAUGCAUGACUUGAGAGGUAAUCCCCAACACUAUUAGUUUCGCCUUGAUGGGAUCCCAAAGAAUUAAAAUCCUUCCAGCUUGAUGCAGAGAGGGGUUGUUCACUUGCAAAAACCCGUUGAAUUUGUUCCUCAUGAUCCGUGGUAGUUUUGAUUGCCCAAGCUUUGUUUCCAAAAUGCCCCUAACAUCAAUAUUAUGUUUUUUCAUCAAGUGUUGAACCCCAUUUUGUUUGAGGGGCCGGUUCAUGUCCCUUAUAUUCCAAGAAGCACCCUUCAUGAAGAGGGCAGUCAGCCUCUUUUUAUCCGUCUUAGUUGAUUUAGCUGGUUGCUCCACAAGCUUACUAUUAAGCUUACCAUUUGUUGGUGCCGUCAAAUUAGGACCAACAAAAUCUACAUUCCUAUUAGCCGAUUUAUGAAGCUUACAAUCUGCCCUCGACUUAGUUGGAUUUGCCCCUUUCUUCUUCUUGGCCACUACAACGAAAGGAGCAUCGUCCCCUUACGAAGCCUGCUUGUUUUGUUGCACCUCCCCUUGAUCAACUGAGGCUGCCUGAGUACUGGCAGUCUCCUGCCCAUGUUGGAUUGCUUGUUGCAACUAGGUAUUCUGCACUUCUUUGGCUAUAGCCUAUUUGCUGCUUGUGUUAUCACCUUGUUGGCCACGGGCUGUUCAUAAGCCUGAGGUUGUUUACAGCCUGUGUCGACUUCACUGUUGGCUGGAGGUUGUUUGUGAAGUUUACAUCCCUGAAUUGAAUGGCUAAACAUUCUGCAAGUAUUGCAGUAUUGCAGAAUGUGCUCAAAAUGAAUUUCAUGUUCUCUCAUUUUCCCAUUGGGCAACAUCAUUUGGACUGAUCAGACAAGCUCCUUAGACACAUCCACUUCAACUAAAACUCUUGCAUAUGAGAUUCUGUUCGUGGUUGAAGUAAGCUUGUCGGUAGAAAUCGGUUUACCCACCUUCGACACAAUCUUACUAACAGCUUUCGAUUUCCAGCACUCAAGAGGUAAUCUGGGGAGGAUUAUCCAAAUUGGUAAGGAGCAGAUUUCCUUUUCAUCAAAUUAAAAAAAUUGAGGCAUAAUCUUUAACAUUGCCG
rnacentral:lncRNA from 1 species